rnacentral:rRNA from 1 species
UUAAGCGACUAAGCGUACACGGUGGAUGCCCUGGCAGUCAGAGGCGAUGAAGGACGUGCUAAUCUGCGAAAAGCGCCGGCGAGGUGAUAUGAACCUUUGACCCGGCGAUGUCCGAAUGGGGAAACCCAGUGCAAUUCGUUGCACUAUCGUUAACUGAAUACAUAGGUUAACGAGGCGAACCGGGGGAACUGAAACAUCUAAGUACCCCGAGGAAAAGAAAUCAACCGAGAUUCCCCCAGUAGCGGCGAGCGAACGGGGAGCAGCCCAGAGUCUGAAUCAGCUUGUGUGUUAGUGGAAGCGUCUGGAAAGUCGCACGGUACAGGGUGACAGUCCCGUACACGAAAAUGCACAGGUUGUGAACUCGAAGAGUAGGGCGGGACACGUGGUAUCCUGUCUGAAUAUGGGGGGACCAUCCUCCAAGGCUAAAUACUCCUGACUGACCGAUAGUGAACCAGUACCGUGAGGGAAAGGCGAAAAGAACCCCGGCGAGGGGAGUGAAAAAGAACCUGAAACCGUGUACGUACAAGCAGUGGGAGCACCUUCGUGGUGUGACUGCGUACCUUUUGUAUAAUGGGUCAGCGACUUAUAUUCUGUAGCAAGGUUAACCGUAUAGGGGAGCCGAAGGGAAACCGAGUCUUAACUGGGCGUUAAGUUGCAGGGUAUAGACCCGAAACCCGGUGAUCUAGCCAUGGGCAGGUUGAAGGUUGGGUAACACUAACUGGAGGACCGAACCGACUAAUGUUGAAAAAUUAGCGGAUGACUUGUGGCUGGGGGUGAAAGGCCAAUCAAACCGGGAGAUAGCUGGUUCUCCCCGAAAGCUAUUUAGGUAGCGCCUCGUGAACUCAUCUUCGGGGGUAGAGCACUGUUUCGGCUAGGGGGCCAUCCCGGCUUACCAACCCGAUGCAAACUACGAAUACCGAAGAAUGUUAUCACGGGAGACACACGGCGGGUGCUAACGUCCGUCGUGAAGAGGGAAACAACCCAGACCGCCAGCUAAGGUCCCAAAGUCAUGGUUAAGUGGGAAACGAUGUGGGAAGGCACAGACAGCCAGGAUGUUGGCUUAGAAGCAGCCAUCAUUUAAAGAAAGCGUAAUAGCUCACUGGUCGAGUCGGCCUGCGCGGAAGAUGUAACGGGGCUAAACCAUGCACCGAAGCUGCGGCAGCGACGCUUAUGCGUUGUUGGGUAGGGGAGCGUUCUGUAAGCCGUUGAAGGUGUGCUGUGAGGCAUGCUGGAGGUAUCAGAAGUGCGAAUGCUGACAUAAGUAACGAUAAAGCGGGUGAAAAGCCCGCUCGCCGGAAGACCAAGGGUUCCUGUCCAACGUUAAUCGGGGCAGGGUGAGUCGACCCCUAAGGCGAGGCCGAAAGGCGUAGUCGAUGGGAAACAGGUUAAUAUUCCUGUACUUGGUGUUACUGCGAAGGGGGGACGGAGAAGGCUAUGUUAGCCGGGCGACGGUUGUCCCGGUUUAAGCAUGUAGGCGGAGGUUCCAGGUAAAUCCGGUACCUUUUAACGCUGAGGUGUGAUGACGAGGCACUACGGUGCUGAAGUAACAAAUGCCCUGCUUCCAGGAAAAGCCUCUAAGCAUCAGGUAACACGAAAUCGUACCCCAAACCGACACAGGUGGUCAGGUAGAGAAUACCAAGGCGCUUGAGAGAACUCGGGUGAAGGAACUAGGCAAAAUGGUGCCGUAACUUCGGGAGAAGGCACGCUGAUAUGUAGGUGAAGCCCCUGCGGGUGGAGCUGAAAUCAGUCGAAGAUACCAGCUGGCUGCAACUGUUUAUUAAAAACACAGCACUGUGCAAACACGAAAGUGGACGUAUACGGUGUGACGCCUGCCCGGUGCCGGAAGGUUAAUUGAUGGGGUUAGCGGCAACGCGAAGCUCUUGAUCGAAGCCCCGGUAAACGGCGGCCGUAACUAUAACGGUCCUAAGGUAGCGAAAUUCCUUGUCGGGUAAGUUCCGACCUGCACGAAUGGCGUAAUGAUGGCCAGGCUGUCUCCACCCGAGACUCAGUGAAAUUGAACUCGCUGUGAAGAUGCAGUGUACCCGCGGCAAGACGGAAAGACCCCGUGAACCUUUACUAUAGCUUGACACUGAACACUGGUCCUUGAUGUGUAGGAUAGGUGGGAGGCUUUGAAGCGUGGACGCCAGUCUGCGUGGAGCCGACCUUGAAAUACCACCCUUUAAUGGCUGGUGUUCUAACGUAGACCCGUAAUCCGGGUUGCGGACAGUGUCUGGUGGGUAGUUUGACUGGGGCGGUCUCCUCCCAAAGAGUAACGGAGGAGCACGAAGGUUAGCUAAUCCUGGUCGGACAUCAGGAGGUUAGUGCAAUGGCAUAAGCUAGCUUGACUGCGAGAGUGACGGCUCGAGCAGGUGCGAAAGCAGGUCAUAGUGAUCCGGUGGUUCUGAAUGGAAGGGCCAUCGCUCAACGGAUAAAAGGUACUCCGGGGAUAACAGGCUGAUACCGCCCAAGAGUUCAUAUCGACGGCGGUGUUUGGCACCUCGAUGUCGGCUCAUCACAUCCUGGGGCUGAAGUAGGUCCCAAGGGUAUGGCUGUUCGCCAUUUAAAGUGGUACGCGAGCUGGGUUUAGAACGUCGUGAGACAGUUCGGUCCCUAUCUGCCGUGGGCGCUGGAGAAUUGAGGGGGGCUGCUCCUAGUACGAGAGGACCGGAGUGGACGCAUCACUGGUGUUCGGGUUGUCAUGCCAAUGGCACUGCCCGGUAGCUAAAUGCGGAAAAGAUAAGUGCUGAAAGCAUCUAAGCACGAAACUUGCCCCGAGAUGAGUUCUCCCUGACCCUUUAAGGGUCCUGAAGGAACGUUGAAGACUACGACGUUGAUAGGUCGGGUGUGUAAGCGCAGCGAUGCGUUGAGCUAACCGAUACUAAUGAACCGUGAGGCUUAACCUU